UACCGUAAGCAAAUGUAAAAA
rnacentral:piRNA from 1 species